rnacentral:tRNA from 1 species
AUUUAUGUAGUUUAUUAAAACAUUACAUUUUCAAUGUAAAGAUAAAAUAAUUAUUUUCAUAAAUA